rnacentral:rRNA from 1 species
GUCGAGCGGAUGAAUGGAGCUUGCUCCUGGAUUCAGCGGCGGACGGGUGAGUAAUGCCUAGGAGUCUGCCUGGUAGUGGGGGAUAACGUCCGGAAACGGGCGCUAAUACCGCAUACGUCCUGAGGGAGAAAGUGGGGGAUCUUCGGACCUCACGCUAUCAGAUGAGCCUAGGUCGGAUUAGCUAGUUGGUGGGGUAAAGGCCUACCAAGGCGACGAUCCGUAACUGGUCUGAGAGGAUGAUCAGUCACAUUGGAACUGAGACACGGUCCAGACUCCUACGGGAGGCAGCAGUGGGGAAUAUUGGACAAUGGGCGAAAGCCUGAUCCAGCCAUGCCGCGUGUGUGAAGAAGGUCUUCGGAUUGUAAAGCACUUUAAGUUGGGAGGAAGGGCAGUAAGUUAAUACCUUGCUGUUUUGACGUUACCAACAGAAUAAGCACCGGCUAACUUCGUGCCAGCAGCCGCGGUAAUACGAAGGGUGCAAGCGUUAAUCGGAAUUACUGGGCGUAAAGCGCGCGUAGGUGGUUCAGCAAGUUGGACGUGAAAUCCCCGGGCUCAACCUGGGAACUGCAUCCAAAACUACUGAGCUAGAGUACGGUAGAGGGUGGUGGAAUUUCCUGUGUAGCGGUGAAAUGCGUAGAUAUAGGAAGGAACACCAGUGGCGAAGGCGACCACCUGGACUGAUACUGACACUGAGGUGCGAAAGCGUGGGGAGCAAACAGGAUUAGAUACCCUGGUAGUCCACGCCGUAAACGAUGUCGACUAGCCGUUGGGAUCCUUGAGAUCUUAGUGGCGCAGCUAACGCGAUAAGUCGA